rnacentral:rRNA from 1 species
GUGGGGAAUCUUGCGCAAUGGGCGAAAGCCUGACGCAGCCAUGCCGCGUGGAUGAUGAAGGUCUUAGGAUUGUAAAAUCCUUUCACCGGUGAAGAUAAUGACUGUAGCCGGAGAAGAAGCCCCGGCUAACUUCGUGCCAGCAGCCGCGGUAAUACGAAGGGGGCUAGCGUUGCUCGGAUUUACUGGACGUAAAGGGCGCGUAGGCGGACAUUUAAGUCAGGGGUGAAAUCCCGGGGCUCAACCUCGGAACUGCCUUUGAUACUGGGUGUCUUGAGUAUGAGAGAGGUGUGUGGAACUCCGAGUGUAGAGGUGAAAUUCGUAGAUAUUCGGAAGAACACCAGUGGCGAAGGCGACACACUGGCUCAUUACUGACGCUGAGGCGCGAAAGCGUGGGGAGCAAACAGGAUUAGAAACCCUGGUAGUCC